rnacentral:lncRNA from 1 species
AGUUUGGUCUCCCAACUAACACUCCAGGGAUCAGGCUUCUCUAUUAGGGGUCCUAGUCAACAGGAGAGUUGCAUUUUUAAUAAUUACUAGGAGCCAUGAAGAACUAAUCCAUUGUUUCAGUUUGUACUAUUGCCUAGUUAAUUAUUUAGAAAUGAUUUAUUAAAAACAAGAAGUGAGGAAACCAUCAUGCUAAGCAGGCAAUUCUGGACAAGAGACUUCUUUCAAGCAAACUGAACAUUGAUUAAGCUCAAAAAGCCUCAUCUUCAAGAUUAUGUGGGAUUUUAUUAACUGAUUUUUCUAAGCCUCUGGCUUCUUUCUUCCUCACUGAAAAAAUGUCAAUGUCAGAAGCAAAGUUUGACUCUGUGAUGGCAAUGAUUGUUCCUGCUCGCAGCUGAAGAGGAUGAGAGGAAACCCAGAUUGGA